UUGGUAAUUCAAAUUGUGCAUCAUGUAAAAUUCAUGGGACGAUCAUCCAUACACGGGGGCGGAAGGAGUAAGGGGCAAGUGAGGUCAAUUGAUCUCACUGAAAAAAAAUUACAUUAUUAUCUUAUAAUUAUAUAUAAUUUUAUGAUUUUAACCCUAUUGAGCUAAUAUCCUAAUUCCGCCCCGUCCAUACAUGAUACAAAGUAUCAAUUCAUUGGUUUUCAAUUGCGGUACAAGAAUUAUUAGGGGGAUUUAGUUGUUAGGAAUUACCCAUAUCCAAACAGGGCACAAUAAUUUAGUAGGGGGAUUUUAUGGUAUUCCUUGGAUUGAGAGGUGCAGGUAGGGAUGGCAACGGGGCGGAUUGGGGACGGGUUGGGCCUCCCCAUCCCCGCCCCGUUUAAUAAUUUUUUAAUUAUAUAUAUUUUUUAUAUCAUUAUUGGUAUAUAUAUAUUAUAAUCUAAAUUAAUACAAUAUAAUCUAUAUAUAUAUCUCUCUUCCUGACCUCUUUGGUCUCUUUUUUUCCCCCCCAGGGUCUCCUUUCUUUUUUCUCUCUCCUCGGGUCAUCGGAGCGGGUUCUGGGUUGAAAAAAAAGGAUGUUAAACCCGCCCACCGCCCCGAGUUAUUAACUCGUAUUUUAAUUUUUUCCUCCAACCCACUUAAAUAGGACCGGGACCAGGCAAAAAAUAAGAUUUUUUUGGGUCAAAUUGUCAUCUCUAGGUGCAGGGAGGUGAGGACUCCACUUGUAGGUUGCUCCUGUUUGGGUAUACAAAUCUUUGAUCCUCUCUGCCAAACAAAGAAUUGAUCGGGAUUUGCUUAUGUACGAAACAAAAACACAUUACGAGGAGAGAGAGAGAGAGAGAGAGAGAAGAGAGGCAUGCAGUUAACAGGUUCAAUCUUUUUUAUCUUAGACUUCCCGAGCUCCUAUGUACGGUACAACCCGUG
rnacentral:lncRNA from 1 species